UUUUUGAGGAAGCCGGGGACUCGCACCACCAUUCUCCGUGAGUUUCCUGGUCUGAAAAGAUUGCCAGACAGGAGCUAUUGAAAGCCCCCAUGUCCUGUGUGCAGAUUUUUAAUGGAAACCUCAAACCUGUUACACCACAGGUGAGGCAAUAUGCUGAGAGCAUCCAGUCCAGCAAUUUCCCAAUGCAAGUUGAGCUGGAGAGAGGGAGAAUUUAUAAAUGUUGUACGUGCUUAUCUGAUCAAAUUUUUGGAAUAACUACUGAGGAUCCCAGAGAAAAAGAAUUCUCAGGUUUGUGUCAGGUAACAUUCUGGAUAUCACGUGAGCCCAGAACAAACAAGCAUCAGUGUGAAAGAGUUCCAGAGGUCAAGUUCUCAUGACUGAAGACUGAGACAGGGAGAAUAUUCUCAAUUCCUCUAGUCCAGUGACUCAGCCGGGGAGAUUUUUGCCCCCCGGGGACAUAAAACAUCCAGAGACAUUUUUAAGGCUUGAAGUUGCUAAUGACUCUAGCGUGCAGAGGCCAGGAAAGCUGCUAAACAUCUCAGGGUGGAUGACUAAUAGCACUUCCUCACCCCCCAAACAAAGAACUGUCCGGCCCCAAAUAUCAACAAUGCCAAGUCUGAGAAGCUCUGUUCCAGCCUUUACCAAUACUCAGCUCAGUGCUUCAAUCAUAAUAAAAGAGAGUAAAUAAUAAAUGUGCUCCCCUGAUAGUUCAGUAGUAAAGAAUCUGCCUGACACAACUUAUAAACAAUGAAAACUUAACAACAAAUAAUAAAUAAAUUGCAAGAUAGAAUUAAGGUUUGGGGAAUAAAGACAGGAAUGAAUUCAGUGUUCUGAAUUAGAAUGGGUGCUUCAUUAUGCUCCCUGUAGGUAUGUGUUAGUUGCUCAGUGUGUCCAGCUCUUGGUGACCUCAUGGACUGUAGCCCGCCAGGCUCUUCUGUCGGAAUUUCCCAGGCAAGAAUACGGGAGGGGGUAGCCACUCCCUCCUACAGGGGAUCUUCCCAGCUCAGGGAUGGGACCCAGGUCUCCUGAAUUCAAUCUGCUCACUAGCACUCCCUUAUCAAUCUCUUUGAUGCUCAGCUGUGCCUGUCCGCCUGGACUUAUUAUUUCUUCCUGCUGGCUCCCACGUCCUGGGACUGGCCUGCUGCAGCCUGGUUCUGCUGGUUCUUCUUGCCCGGGGCCCAUGCCUGCUUAGCCCUCAGUCUCCACCUUGACAGCUUGCAGACCCAGAAGACCAGAGAAGCAGGAUCCAUAGACAGUCUGGAAUCAGAAACAGCAAGGGUCACCACCACUUAUUCUAAACACUGAAGUCGCUUGAUGAAUUUCGGCAACUU
rnacentral:lncRNA from 1 species